rnacentral:lncRNA from 1 species
GGGGGGCUAGGAUGAAAUUUGAAAAAAAUAAGGCAGGACAGGAGAGAAUGAUUUGAGUAAUAAAAGGCAGGGAGACAAUUGCCAAAAAAAAAGUCGGGACGACAAUUUAGGUAAAAAAAAGUCAGGAUAAACUAAAAAAAAAAAAAAGCAGGACCAAACAGAGUGAAAAAUAAAAAGGCAGGACAGAGAUUACAGCUAAAAAAAAUGCAGGACAAAAUUUUUCAUCCUAGCCC